rnacentral:rRNA from 1 species
GAGGGUGAGGGAAUUGUCGAGGCGCCGAAAGGAAGAGCGGGCAAUUACUCAACCAACGAUGACAAGUUACUAUGCCAUACUUAUUUGCAAGUGUCGAGGGAUCCAUCCAUUGGAGGUGAUCAAAGUAGAGACGCGUAUUGGGGGCGAAUGAAAGAACACUACGAUGCUCACAACUUGAGUGGAAUUGACCGCUCCGAGAGAUCACUUUGGUCCCGAUGGUCGACAAUCAACGCGGAUUGUCAAAAGUGGGCGGCCGUACAAAAGGCAGUUGACAAGAUUAACCCAAGUGGCACAAAUGAGGAUGAUCGAGUAAGUGGCAUCUCAUAUAUGUUCAUCAUACUUGUUUUUGGUGACUGA